GAGUUUGAUCCUGGCUCAGAUUGAACGCUGGCGGCAGGCCUAACACAUGCAAGUCGAACGGUAGCACAGAGAGCUUGCUCUUGGGUGACGAGUGGCGGACGGGUGAGUAAUGUCUGGGAAACUGCCUGAUGGAGGGGGAUAACUACUGGAAACGGUAGCUAAUACCGCAUAACGUCGCAAGACCAAAGAGGGGGACCUUCGGGCCUCUUGCCAUCAGAUGUGCCCAGAUGGGAUUAGCUAGUAGGUGGGGUAACGGCUCACCUAGGCGACGAUCCCUAGCUGGUCUGAGAGGAUGACCAGCCACACUGGAACUGAGACACGGUCCAGACUCCUACGGGAGGCAGCAGUGGGGAAUAUUGCACAAUGGGCGCAAGCCUGAUGCAGCCAUGCCGCGUGUAUGAAGAAGGCCUUCGGGUUGUAAAGUACUUUCAGCGAGGAGGAAGGCGAUACGGUUAAUAACCGUGUCGAUUGACGUUACUCGCAGAAGAAGCACCGGCUAACUCCGUGCCAGCAGCCGCGGUAAUACGGAGAGUGCAAGCGUUAAUCGGAAUUACUGGGCGUAAAGCGCACGCAGGCGGUCUGUCAAGUCGGAUGUGAAAUCCCCGGGCUCAACCUGGGAACUGCAUUCGAAACUGGCAGGCUUGAGUCUUGUAGAGGGGGGUAGAAUUCCAGGUGUAGCGGUGAAAUGCGUAGAGAUCUGGAGGAAUACCGGAGGCGAAGGCGGCCCCCUGGACAAAGACUGACGCUCAGGUGCGAAAGCGUGGGGAGCAAACAGGAUUAGAUACCCUGGUAGUCCACGCCGUAAACGAUGUCGACUUGGAGGUUGUGCCCUUGAGGCGUGGCUUCCGGAGCUAACGCGUUAAGUCGACCGCCUGGGGAGUACGGCCGCAAGGUUAAAACUCAAAUGAAUUGACGGGGGCCCGCACAAGCGGUGGAGCAUGUGGUUUAAUUCGAUGCAACGCGAAGAACCUUACCUACUCUUGACAUCCAGAGAACUUAGCAGAGAUGCUUUGGUGCCUUCGGGAACUCUGAGACAGGUGCUGCAUGGCUGUCGUCAGCUCGUGUUGUGAAAUGUUGGGUUAAGUCCCGCAACGAGCGCAACCCUUAUCCUUUGUUGCCAGCGGUUCGGCCGGGAACUCAAAGGAGACUGCCAGUGAUAAACUGGAGGAAGGUGGGGAUGACGUCAAGUCAUCAUGGCCCUUACGAGUAGGGCUACACACGUGCUACAAUGGCAUAUACAAAGAGAAGCGACCUCGCGAGAGCAAGCGGACCUCAUAAAGUAUGUCGUAGUCCGGAUUGGAGUCUGCAACUCGACUCCAUGAAGUCGGAAUCGCUAGUAAUCGUGGAUCAGAAUGCCACGGUGAAUACGUUCCCGGGCCUUGUACACACCGCCCGUCACACCAUGGGAGUGGGUUGCAAAAGAAGUAGGUAGCUUAACCUUCGGGAGGGCGCUUACCACUUUGUGAUUCAUGACUGGGGUGAAGUCGUAACAAGGUAAC
rnacentral:rRNA from 1 species